GACGAACGCUGGCGGCGUGCUUAACACAUGCAAGUCGAACGGAAAGGCCCUGCUUUUGUGGGGUGCUCGAGUGGCGAACGGGUGAGUAACACGUGAGUAACCUGCCCUUGACUUUGGGAUAACUUCAGGAAACUGGGGCUAAUACCGGAUAGGAGCUCCUGCUGCAUGGUGGGGGUUGGAAAGUUUCGGCGGUUGGGGAUGGACACGCGGCUUAUCAGCUUGUUGGUGGGGUAGUGGCUUACCAAGGCUUUGACGGGUAGCCGGCCUGAGAGGGUGACCGGCCACAUUGGGACUGAGAUACGGCCCAGACUCCUACGGGAGGCAGCAGUGGGGAAUAUUGCACAAUGGGCGGAAGCCUGAUGCAGCAACGCCGCGUGCGGGAUGACGGCCUUCGGGUUGUAAACCGCUUUCGCCUGUGACGAAGCGUGAGUGACGGUAAUGGGUAAAGAAGCACCGGCUAACUACG
rnacentral:rRNA from 1 species